rnacentral:rRNA from 1 species
UGGGGAAUAUUGGACAAUGGGCGCAAGCCUGAUCCAGCCAUGCCGCGUGAGUGAUGAAGGCCCUAGGGUUGUAAAGCUCUUUCACCGGUGAAGAUAAUGACGGUAACCGGAGAAGAAGCCCCGGCUAACUUCGUGCCAGCAGCCGCGGUAAUACGAAGGGGGCUAGCGUUGUUCGGAUUUACUGGGCGUAAAGCGCACGUAGGCGGACUUUUAAGUCAGGGGUGAAAUCCCGGGGCUCAACCCCGGAACUGCCUUUGAUACUGGAAGUCUUGAGUAUGGUAGAGGUGAGUGGAAGUCCGAGUGUAGAGGUGAGAUUCGUAGAUAUUCGGAGGAACACCAGUGGCGAAGGCGGCUCCCUGGACCAUUACUGACGCUGAGGUGCGAAAGAGUGGGGAGCAAACAGG